GUGCUCAAUUCAGCAGCACAUAUACUAAUGUUGGAUUGAUACAGAGAAGAUUAGCAUGGCCCUUGAGAAAAGAUGACACUCAAAUUUGUGUUCCAUAUUUAU